GGACACUGCAAAUCUGAGGGACCCACAUUGCACGUCCAAAGAUAAGUAUGUAACUUCAUUAUUGAUCAAUGGGGCUGGUCGUUAUGGAUGCAAUGGUCUCUAUCAAUUAUUAAGGUACAAAAUGCACGACCUAUCUUCACUGCAAGUUGGGGAUAUACUGCGAAAGGACUUUAAAAAGUGGAAAGGACAAGAAAAUACAGAUUCAAGAUCAAUGUCACAAAUUGGCAUGAGUUGCAUUGGAAUUUCCAUCGGACAGCUUCUCUCUCACACUGAGAAUCUAGCACAAGAAAUAACAUCUUUCCAAUGUGA